rnacentral:rRNA from 1 species
GACGAACGCUGGCGGCGUGCCUAAUACAUGCAAGUAGAACGCACAGUUUAUACCGUAGCUUGCUACACCAUAGACUGUGAGUUGCGAACGGGUGAGUAACGCGUAGGUAACCUGCCUGGUAGCGGGGGAUAACUAUUGGAAACGAUAGCUAAUACCGCAUAAUAUUAAUUAUUGCAUGAUAAUUAAUUGAAAGGUGCAAUUGCACCACUACCAGAUGGACCUGCGUUGUAUUAGCUAGUAGGUGAGGUAACGGCUCACCUAGGCGACGAUACAUAGCCGACCUGAGAGGGUGAUCGGCCACACUGGGACUGAGACACGGCCCAGACUCCUACGGGAGGCAGCAGUAGGGAAUCUUCGGCAAGGGACGAAAGUCUGACCGAGCAACGCCGCGUGAGUGAAGAAGGUUUUCGGAUCGUAAAGCUCUGUCGUAAGAGAAGAACGGGUGUGAGAGUGGAAAGUUCACACUGUGACGGUAUCUUACCAGAAAGGGACGGCUAACUACGUG